rnacentral:rRNA from 1 species
AGAGUUUGAUCCUGGCUCAGAUUGAACGCUGGCGGCAGGCCUAACACAUGCAAGUCGAGCGGUAGCACAGAGAGCUUGCUCUCGGGUGACGAGCGGCGGACGGGUGAGUAAUGUCUGGGAAACUGCCUGAUGGAGGGGGAUAACUACUGGAAACGGUAGCUAAUACCGCAUAACGUCGCAAGACCAAAGUGGGGGACCUUCGGGCCUCAUGCCAUCAGAUGUGCCCAGAUGGGAUUAGCUAGUAGGUGGGGUAAUGGCUCACCUAGGCGACGAUCCCUAGUUGGUCUGAGAGGAUGACCAGCCACACUGGAACUGAGACACGGUCCAGACUCCUACGGGAGGCAGCAGUGGGGAAUAUUGCACAAUGGGCGCAAGCCUGAUGCAGCCAUGCCGCGUGUAUGAAGAAGGCCUUCGGGUUGUAAAGUACUUUCAGCGAGGAGGAAGGCGUUAAGGUUAAUAACCUUGGCGAUUGACGUUACUCGCAGAAGAAGCACCGGCUAACUCCGUGCCAGCAGCCGCGGUAAUACGGAGGGUGCAAGCGUUAAUCGGAAUUACUGGGCGUAAAGCGCACGCAGGCGGUCUGUUAAGUCAGAUGUGAAAUCCCCGGGCUCAACCUGGGAACUGCAUUUGAAACUGGCAGGCUUGAGUCUUGUAGAGGGGGGUAGAAUUCCAGGUGUAGCGGUGAAAUGCGUAGAGAUCUGGAGGAAUACCGGUGGCGAAGGCGGCCCCCUGGACAAAGACUGACGCUCAGGUGCGAAAGCGGGGGGGAGCAAACAGGAUUUAGAUACCCUGGUAGUCCACGCUGUAAACGAUGUCGACUUGGAGGUUGUUCCCUUGAGGAGUGGCUUCCGGAGCUAACGCGUUAAGUCGACCGCCUGGGGAGUACGGCCGCAAGGUUAAAACUCAAAUGAAUUGACGGGGGCCCGCACAAGCGGUGGAGCAUGUGGUUUAAUUCGAUGCAACGCGAAGAACCUUACCUACUCUUGACAUCCAGAGAACUUAGCAGAGAUGCUUUGGUGCCUUCGGGAACUCUGAGACAGGUGCUGCAUGGCUGUCGUCAGCUCGUGUUGUGAAAUGUUGGGUUAAGUCCCGCAACGAGCGCAACCCUUAUCCUUUGUUGCCAGCGAUUCGGUCGGGAACUCAAAGGAGACUGCCAGUGAUAAACUGGAGGAAGGUGGGGAUGACGUCAAGUCAUCAUGGCCCUUACGAGUAGGGCUACACACGUGCUACAAUGGCAUAUACAAAGAGAAGCGACCUCGCGAGAGCAAGCGGACCUCAUAAAGUAUGUCGUAGUCCGGAUUGGAGUCUGCAACUCGACUCCAUGAAGUCGGAAUCGCUAGUAAUCGUAGAUCAGAAUGCUACGGUGAAUACGUUCCCGGGCCUUGUACUCACCGCCCGUCA